rnacentral:rRNA from 1 species
UACGAAGGGGGGCUAGCGUUGCUCGGAAUCACUGGGCGUAAAGCGCACGUAGGCGGCUUCUUAAGUCAGGGGGUGAAAUCCUGGAGCUCAACUCCAGAACUGCCUUCGAUACUGACGAUCUCGAGUCCGGGAGAGGUGAGUGGAACUCCGAGUGUAGAGGUGAAAUUCGUAGAUAUUCGGAAGAACACCAGUGGCGAAGGCGGCUCACUGGCCCGGUACUGACGCUGAGGUGCGAAAGCGUGGGGAGCAAACAGG